GACGUACCACCCAAACGUUAUUCGGAUUCACUGGGCUUACAGAGUCCGUAGGCGGUGGAGAAAGUUAGGCGUGAAAUCCCUCAGCUCAACUGAGGAAUAGCGCUUAAAACUACUUCGCUAGAGAGGGUCAGAGGUGAGCGGAACUGAUGGUGGAGCGGUGAAAUGCGUUGAUAUCAUCAGGAACACCGGUGGCGAAAGCGGCUCACUGGGGCUUUUCUGACGCUGAGGGACGAAAGCUAGGGGAGCGAACGGG
rnacentral:rRNA from 1 species